UUUUAAGAUUACAAAAUUUACAUGUAAGUAAGCUUCCAAAUACCAAGAACUGACACUUUCCAUCAUCCAAAUCUUCUUGUUCUCUCUCUCUUUGCGGGUAAAGUUUCAUUCUUGUGGUUGGCAACACAUAGAUAUUUGCUUGAUUCUGAUAACGGUGACUGCAUUUCAAGAUGAUUUGAAUCGAUAUUUCUCUAUUCCUUCUUUCUUUUGUUAUUUUUGCCACGCUGAGUGUUUUUUUUUAUCUGGGUUUUUGCGUAUUUGUUCAUUGUAGCAUUCAAAAUUGAAAUGAUUAGAUAAAUUAUGAUCUGGAUGUGGUUUAAUUUUAUUUCUCCUAUCAAUACGUGUUUUUGAGAUGAAAUGCUAAAUGGGUUCUCUUAAUUUCAUUUUCCUUCAUUUUGUUUCUAUAAUUGUUAAAAUAAUUUUCUGUGACUGCUUAAUCUAGCCUUAGGUUAUCUUUAUUUUUGUUUCAAUUUUUUAUUGGUAAAUACAAGUUUCUGUAUGUGUUUGACUGUUUUAUAGGGUGUUACACAUUGUGGAAACG
rnacentral:misc_RNA from 1 species